rnacentral:rRNA from 1 species
GACGAACGCUGGCGGCGUGCUUAACACAUGCAAGUCGAACGAUGAACCCGGAGCUUGCUCCGGCGGAUUAGUGGCGAACGGGUGAGUAACACGUGAGUAACCUGCCCUUGACUCUGGGAUAACUGCUAGAAAUGGUAGCUAAUACCGGAUACGACCCUCGGUGGGAUCACCAGGGGGUGGAAAGAAUUUCGGUCAAGGAUGGACUCGCGGCCUAUCAGCUAGUUGGUGAGGUAACGGCUCACCAAGGCGACGACGGGUAGCCGGCCUGAGAGGGUAACCGGCCACACUGGGACUGAGACACGGCCCAGACUCCUACGGGAGGCAGCAGUGGGGAAUAUUGCACAAUGGGCGCAAGCCUGAUGCAGCGACGCCGCGUGAGGGAUGACGGCCUUCGGGUUGUAAACCUCUUUUAGUAGGGAAGAAGCGAAAGUGACGGUACCUGCAGAAAAAGCACCGGCUAACUAUGUGCCAGCCGCCGCGGUAA